AGCUGAAGUUGAACCCUGAACCGACUGAGCCACCUAGGCACCCCUAAUGUGGGUUAUUUCUAAUGUCACUUCAGAAAGAGCACAUUAUUCGACGUAGAAGGUGAUGUCCCAAAUUCAGGCUCACAUAAUGCAAGGGAGAAAAGACCCAGUGUAUGUUCAGAUUUAUUAGUUUCUUACUCAUUUAUUCAAUAUUCAAUCAGCAGCUACUAUGUGCAUGCCAGGGGGAGGCAGGGCUGCGGCAGGGGCACAGGUGUGCCCCAAGUGCACAGCCAAGGGCUUCAGGUGUGCUCAGACCCCUCACUGGAAAACAUGGCAUUGGAGAGCUAAAAAAGCGAAACAUGAACUAGCAUGGAAUGUAAGCCUCCAGGUAGACAGUAGGGCAGUGAUGUCACAGUCCCUCCUGAUUCUACCAAGUGGUCAACACAGAAGCUAUGGCCAACUUCAAAACCAGCUCACGCUCCCAAGUAUGAGCCACUUGCACAACUGGCUCUAUGUGGUCACGGCACGGCCAGCAAAGACUGCCGUGGUGAAUUUACCCUUCCUGGCAUGUGAGGAGAGGGCUCACGUUGUGAGGUGACAUGUGCAUGCAUUCCUGUCAUCUGUGCCACUUACUAGCCAUUUAAGCUCAUUAUCUCUCUGAAGUUCGGUGCCCUCAACUCGAAAACGAGGGUCCCAGCAUCGAGGACUGAAAGUGAAAUCUGCACCAGGUGUUCAACAGAGUCCCCAUCACAUGGAGAGGGCUCGGUAAGUGUGAGCUGCCGACAGAACCACAGCCACGAAGUGGGAACCUGAUCGGCCCCACCCGGACCUCGGAAACGGCGCAGGUCUGUGAGGCAAAAUCACUGCUCUGCAGAGAUCGUAUGUGUGCAAAGAGUUUCCUUCUUCAGACGCACUGUGUUUGGUGCCGUUAAGAUACAACACGAUGCCCCAGCGUGCCGAGCCUCAGGAGGUCUGCUCCGUCCUGGUGACUCCACCACCGCACCAAUCACACGGCUACGCAAACGGCCUUGGAAAGAGAUCAGAUCUUCCCAUUCUGACACGUACACACAACCUGUAAAUCUUGUAUUCUGAGUCGGCCCGAACAUAAGGGUUGCAGUAGGUAGAAAUCUGAUACUCUGCUGCUCCGAGGUAAAGAAUACCCAUACGUACCCAACACGAGGACACGCAACCCCAGGACUGGAUCUACAUUAGACGUGCGGAGGACGAAGCUGGCAUCCAGAACCUGAAGCAACCGCUUCCCUUUGUCGUCUUGCUUCUGUUGUUCAGGGGUCUCCCCCAGAAUCUAAAACUUCAUGCACCCAGACGCUUCAAAGAAGAACCACACCUUUGGGCCACAGCACAGCUUCCAGAGCCUCUGAGCCUGCCAGAGGAUUUUCCUUGCACGGGACCCGCCUGCUCGCCAUGAUUUCAGCGUUGCCACAAGAUCCAAAGUAGAAACAGAGCAAAGCCAACUACCACUGGCUAGAAAGGGGUGUUACCACAUCUGGGGCCUCGCUUCGCUUGCCCCUGCGCGAGCCGCGGUGUGACGGCAGCACUUAUUAGGGAGGAGUCUCUCCAGGCUUCCCUAUCGACCAGCCCUGAAGCCCCACUGAUUACGGACGAGCACCGGCGCAUGGGAGCCCAGACCGAGGGCCGGGAAGCCAGCGCUGCAGCACAGACAGGGCCCUGUCCUGCUGUCGGCUGGGAGAGGGCAGAAAGGGGACACGUCACAGUCACUCUUUAUUCACAGUCACGUAUUAUCAGUAAGAGUCACCCAGAGGCAAAUGCAGGGACACUGGAGCCCUUCUCCUUCUCUCCUGUUUUGUUGUUGUUGUUGUUUGUUUUUUUUAAACCUGGCACGAGAGGGUUGGCUAGCGGCUGACAAAUGAAUUUGGCUUUGUUGAGUCACACGCAGGACAGUGGACAGCACCGGGCACACCAUGCCACCGGCAAACAUAAAACCACGUGUCGUUUGGCUUAAGGGUCUC